GAGAUGCCAUUCUAUGU
rnacentral:misc_RNA from 1 species